GCGUGCCUAACACAUGCAAGUCGAACGAGAACGGAUAUAAGUUUACUUAUAUUGUCAGCUAAGUGGCGCACGGGUGAGUAAUAUAUAGUUAAUCUGCCCCAAAGAAGAGAAUAAUUGUUGGAAACGACUUGUAAUGCUCUAUAUGCCUUUAUCACAUAAGUGAGCAAGGGAAAUAUUUAUAGCUUUGGGAUGAGACUGUACGGUAUCAGCUAGUUGGUGAGGUAAUGGCUCACCAAGGCUAUGACAUCUAACUGGUUUGAGAGGAUGAUCAGUCACACUGGAACUGAGACACGGUCCAGACUCCUACGGGAGGCAGCAGUGGGGAAUAUUGCACAAUGGAGGAAACUCUGAUGCAGCAACGCCGCGUGGAGGAUGACACAUUUCGGUGCGUAAACUCCUUUUAUUAGGGAAGAUAAUGACGGUACCUAAUGAAUAAGCACCGGCUAACUCCGUGCCAGCAGCCGCGGUAAUACGGGGGGUGCAAGCGUUACUCGGAAUCACUGGGCGUAAAGAGCAUGUAGGCUGUAGAUUAAGUUGGAAGUGAAAUCCUAUGGCUCAACCAUAGAACUGCUUCCAAAACUGAUUUGCUAGAGUAUGGGAGAGGUAGAUGGAAUUUCUGGUGUAGGGGUAAAAUCCGUAGAGAUCAGAAGGAAUACCGAUUGCGAAGGCGAUCUACUGGAACAUUACUGACGCUGAGAUGCGAAAGCGUGGGGAGCAAACAGGAUUAGAUACCCUG
rnacentral:rRNA from 1 species